CAGCCUGCCGCGUGUGUGAAGAAGGUCUUCGGAUUGUAAAGCACUUUAAGUUGGGAGGAAGGGCAGUAAGUUAAUACNUUGCUGUUUUGACGUUACCGACAGAAUAAGCACCGGCUAACUCUGUGCCAGCAGCCGCCGGUAAUA
rnacentral:rRNA from 1 species